ACGAGGGGGGCAAGCGUUGUUCGGAAUUAUUGGGCGUAAAGGGUGCGUAGGCGGUUUGGUAAGUCUUGUGUGAAAUCUUCGGGCUCAACUCGAAGUCUGCACGAGAAACUGCCGGGCUUGAGUGUGGGAGAGGUGAGUGGAAUUUCCGGUGUAGCGGUGAAAUGCGUAGAUAUCGGAAGGAACACCUGUGGCGAAAGCGGCUCACUGGACCACAACUGACGCUGAGGCACGAAAGCUAGGGGAGCAAACAGGAUUAGAUACCCUGGUAGUCCUAGCCCUAAACGAUGAUCGCUUGGUGUGACGGGUACCCAAUCCCGCCGUGCCGCAGCUAACGCGUUAAGCGAUCCGCCUGGGGAGUACGGUCGCAAGGCUG
rnacentral:rRNA from 1 species